rnacentral:lncRNA from 1 species
CUUAAGAGAACUUUUGGUGGUGAAGAGAGACGUACACGUGUCCGUUUCUCUGCAAAUUUUCUUCACUUUCAUCUUUGAUCUCUCUGCAAAUUUUCUUCACUUCCAGCUCCGACGAUUGAGAGUAGAAUUGAAGCUAAUUUCCUUUAAUCAUUCCAAAUUUUGCAAAAUAAUUUCUUCACUUUCAUCUUUGAUCUCUCUGGAAAAAAAACUAAUUUGAGUUUUUGGAAUUAACUUGUUAAAUUUUUCUCUGCAGUGGAAACUGUCGGUUGGGCUUCUGAUCGGUUUGUCUGAUCGGUUUGCAACCGAUCGGAUCUCUUUAGUAGAUUUUUGCAAUUUUGCCGCUCGAUUUCGUCGAUCGGUUGUAAACCGAUCGGAUUGUAACUUUUGUUCCGCAACUCCGUUUCAGACAAACUCACCACCGUUGGAAAGCUAAUUCAAUUUCCUACAACUUUCAUGAAGGGCUCCAAAGCUAAAUAACAGGGGAGAGUCUUCAUAUGAUGUGAUCUUUCAAGAACUUCAUUUGGAGCCAUCAUCUAGAUCGAGUGUAGACCAAUCUGUUUGUAACUUUUUAUACGCUACUCCGUUUGAUACGAAAUCACCACCAUUAAAAAGCUGAUUCAAUUCUCUAUAACUUUCAUGAAGGGCUCCAAAGCUGAAUCACAAGGUAUAGGCUUCGUAUGAUGUGAUCUUUGAUCUUCAUCUUUGAUAUUCAUUUCUUGAAACACCUUUGUUUACACCUUUUUGCACAAUUUGCCUCCAAUUUCCUUGAAUAACUCCAAGUUUCACUCCAACACUCAGUUUGAUGUUUCAGAAUUCCUACAAGUUGAAGGAAACCAAACUUCACAAGUCGAUUUAUCGUAUCG